UAAGAAAACUAUCUUUUUUUUUUUUAACUUCUGCCACCUGUAUGUUGUUGCACACCCUGCUAGUAAUAGUUACCAAAUCCACUCAAAACAGACAUUGGACAAUGUAGUCAUAGAUAUACAAAAAGACUGGAUGGUUAUGGGUGGAAACUCCUGUUUUAAUCAGGAAUGACCAAGGGCUAAGCAGCAACAGCAACAAACAGUUAAGUUCAUUGAAUAAUAAAAACAAAAUAGUUUUGAAAUAUUUCUCCAAUAACCUUCAAUUCUCUUUUACAUUCCCUUUUCUUUAUUUUUCAGUUAAAAAAUGAAAUUUUAAUUAAACCCAAUUAAUUAUUCUUUGUGCAUGUUGGUCCUGUAAUAUAUUUAUUGGUACAAAAUAUAGAGUAUCUCCUGGGAGGAGGAGAGAGGUUUCUUCAGUGACAAGGAAAACCUCUCAUCAAUUUUUAUAAAUAUUUCAAUGAAACAAAACAUUAAGAAUGAAAACCUAAACGAUUCUGUCUAAUUGAAAGCUUUGUUUUCAGUUGAUUCUGCAUUUCUUUUUAAAACCUUUUUUUCCUUGCAGUUAUUGGUUGUGAGAAAACCAUUCUGUAAAAUGAUUCUGUGUAACAAUAAAUUGGCUGUGAAGAUUUGUUCUUAAAAUAUA